GCAUUCCAGGCAAGAAGGUUGUGAGAGUGAGUGUGCAUAGGGAGCUUCUAAACACAUUUGGCCUGACGCGUGGCAUGAAGAGGUCUUAUAACUGUGUGAAGGAACAUUGUGCAAAAGAAAAAGAUGCGAAGGAAACCUCCUAAAAGCCAAGCCUUGGGACAGAGGUCUCUAACUGGUGACAUAAAUUAGGAGACGCGAUCCAGCCAGGAACAGCAAGGGGCCAUAGAGAAGCCAAGAAGCCAUUCCACAGCCUGUGGUCACAUCCACCAGAGCAGCCUGAAGGCCCAUGUGGCACUGCAGCUUCCAAGCUCCCGGCGGGGACUUCAGCUGUUAAAUCAACUCUCUGAUGAGGUGCCCGACCCAGAUCUAAUCUCAGGAAAAGAUCAAGACGAUUUUCCUGUUUGGGUUCAGCCCCAAGGGCAUUCUAGGAGAGGAAUCUGCCAGCACCCUGCCUUGACAACCGUUCAUUAUUAAAAAGUCGCAAACAUGAAUAAAACAUGUUCAUUUCUAAAAGAGAAAACC
rnacentral:lncRNA from 1 species